rnacentral:lncRNA from 1 species
CUCAAUUUUGUCACUCAGAUUUGCAUCUUGUCUUCCUUUCUGUUUUUAGUUGUUUGGAUUUGUCCCAAAGUAUUUGCGGCUAAAAUUCCUUUUGGACUCUGAGCUGACUUUUUUUACAUAAGCUUUGGAUUGGAAUCAAUAGAAUGUCAAGACGCCAGGCACAUUCAGCCUAAUAGCAGAUUGCAGAUUGAGCUUAACCAAGAAGCUCGUGGGCUGAUCCACGCUGACCUGCCUGACCACGGAAGAGGUUCUGUCGGCCUGGCUGGGCCCCUCUUGGCUUCACUUGUUGCCUGGGUGGAAAAUUCUUCCUAUUGAAAUAUUUUUGCACAUGGAGGACAACAGCAAAGAGGCCAACACAGGCUGAGAAGACCAGAGACCUCAAGAAUAUUCUUUGACCUUGGCCUUCAGGACAUUUCCUCUAGUUGGAGUUCUGGACUUGAGAACCCUGUUCAAUUAUUUUGGUUUAGCUAUCUGUUUCUAUUUUUUAUUUUUUUACUUUUCUUUUCCCUACGGUAUUGUGU